rnacentral:lncRNA from 1 species
UUCUUGCUCUGUCUUCAGCAGUUCGCACAUGUACCAGCUCCUGAGGAAGCCUGACAGCAAACUGACUGGUGUCGCUUUUGAAAGCAACCGAUGUGAGUUUUGUCUUGUGUGAUUUCAAGGUGGCCGGUCCUCGUUUGUUUAACCGAAUAUGGUGUUAGAACAUGUUUUUUUAUUACUUACCUGUUUAGUGUUUCGUUUAAGUUUAUCCUGGUGCUUAGCCUAGCAUGUAGCCCGCACUUGAUCUGAUUUGCUUAUUGCAGUGUAAGUUUUGGUUAGCCAGUAUCUAAGUUUAGCUUAGCAUGUAGCUAAAACUCUCACUCAGCUCAAUUCAGCUUUGUAGCUUAGCUUUUAGCCUUAGCAUUAGCAAUUAGCAUUUACCUUAGCACCAAUGUUUCAUUUGUAGUACACGUAAAUAGUAUUUUAUAUUAGAAUCUGUUUACAGCACCUUGUUGAUCUGUGCCUUUUUUCUCUUUGUUAUAGUUUUUUACUCACUAACCAGUGAUGAAUAAAAAAGAUCAACUGUGACCUGACUCGAUCAUCGAUUCAUCUCAAAUGCUUUGUCUCUAAUCUUGCUGCUCAUAAAUAUAACUAGCCAACCAUCACAGAAAUUAAAUAUAUAUAUUUAUAUCAUUUAGGAAUAUACUUAAGUAACUGCUAAUUUCUGUAAAUAUAUCAAUGCAAAUCGUAUGAUGAUGUACUCCCCAUCUAUUGAUUUUCUGGGUGUUUUUUGACUUUUCUCACAAAUGCAAAACCUCGUUCAAACCAAUAUGAAUUGUGACUUCAUUAUCUUUCAGGGCAUGUCCUCUGUUUCCCCUCGCUGACCGUCUGCGACCGACUGCUGGCCUCCUCCUGACCUAUCCUGACCUACACUCUGUUUUUGCCAGUUGCUGAAUCCAACUCGGUGCCCUCUGUACUUCCCAAGACACUUUUGGAUGCUGUUUCUUGGGGAUAAGGGUAUGUUAUCAUUGUGGUCAGUAUCAGGUUGUAAGCUUUGUUUACAAAGUAAACAAUCUCACUGUCACCUCAAAGCAGAGUCAAACAUGGCAAACAAGUAUCAAGCAGACACUUGCAGAGUAAAAAAGACCCUUAUAAAGCACAGAAUUGUAUCAGUGAGAUACUUCAUGGACAAAAUCAUCAGUAUUUGAGACACAAAGGGCUGAGUGAAAGGUAAUAUAAUUAACCAAAUCUACAUGUCAGUCCUUUGCGUCACUCAUUUACUGCUAACUCUUUAAAGGUCAGUUUGUGGAUGUACAUGUGUUUAUUUUGAUUUGCAGGCCUGUUUACUAUCAUUUAUGGUUAAAUAGUACUAGUUUGUUUUGCCAGGGAAAGGAAAAAGCUGCCAGGAGUAUGAUCAGUGCCAAAGAUGAACUUUCCAGGACAGAAGAGUUAUACUUUGAACUGCUCUGAAACUACUGAGCGACAGUCACAGUGGGAUGUGGAUUUCCAAAGACAAAUCCUGACCUGGAUGAGGCCCAGGCUUUAAAACGAUUGAUGACAAUUCAUAAAACAGCCAAAAAUACAAUGUCAAAAACAUCUCCAUUCAAUGAGGUAAGAAAUUAAAGCAACACCUGAAACUGUGUUUUUUGUUUACAAAAUUAAAGUUGACUGUCUUGCAGUCAGAUUCAAGAUUGAAAUGCUACCUUGCUAAAUUCCCCCAAAACUAUGUCUUUUUUAAGGAUUUCAAACGAAACAAACAAACAAAAAAAACAACAACAUUAAAAACACUUUUACCCAAAUUUAAAGCUCCUGUAAGGAAAUUUUCAUUUGUGUCAAUUUUGUGGACAAAGCAAUCUUUGCCCUUCUUACUCUCUUUAAGCUUAAAUAGAGUCAUCUUGAAGAAGAAAAAACUCAUUCUGUUCACUUUUGACAAUUAAUUAUAUCACUAAGUGUGAAAAAUUUAUGAGGGAACUUAAAAACAGGGCUGACACCAACUCUACACGCAAAUUUUAGGCAUUAAAAACUACCAUAAAAAAUGUUUGUUCUUGUUGCUGAUGGUCCUGUCUAUAUACCGUAACAAAGCACCCAUGUGGAUACUACUAUAAUUUGUAAGUGGGGCUUUAAAAUAAUAGGGAAAAGAAAAUGAAAACUAAUGGAAAAUUCGAAACUGUGUUAGCCUUGCUCGAGUGUUUUUAUUUAAACAGAAAGUACAAAGACCGUAGGCACAGGGCCACAGGUUUUGGUACCAGCAGUGUUCUGAUCUCUGUCUGGAAUCUGAUGGUCGAGCAUUAAACUUACAUCUGCAGGCUGCAGCUUUCUGUAGGAAGGUAUGUGUGGGAAGUAACCCAGCAAAAACAUAACCUUGUUUCCUUUUAGUGUUGAACUAACUAAAAGGUAGUUUUCUUUAACCCUUAAAACAAGUGCAGCAAAAAAAUCCCCUCAGGGUACAACUUAAGUUGGUAGUCAGACUAUAAACACUGCCAAUGCACAGUCAGAAAGCUGGAGGUCCUUUAUGCCUGUACCUACAGGUGACAGCAGUAGAAAUUCAAAGUCUAUAUUGCUAUGAGUCUUUAUUGCUAAAAGCCAGUGUAGUAGGGAAAGAGAUAAGACAAAUAUAAUAACUUUAACCCUUGGUUCCUGAUAAUUUGAAGCUCCAUCCAGCCUACUUUGUCCCCAAAACAGACAUGCAGAUAAGUGUUCAUAAAAUAAUCAUUUUCUAACAUUUUUUAAAAAUGACCAUUAAAAAAAUAAUAGAUAAAAAAUUCGAUGUUACGCCCUUUUUAUGCCAGUUAUUGUGCACCAUGUCACUGUUAUUUUUAAUGGUAAAAAACACAAAAUCGCCAUAUUUCCCAUAUAAUAUGACCUAGAUGUGACUGUCCGAGGGUUAAGCUGGUACACUCAGUUAUAUUGCCAACAAAACCCUGCUCUACUCCCCCAUCAGCUGAGGGGGCCACUACCAUUUUGGGUCACACAUGGUGACAUUAAAGGGAUAGUUUCCUUUUUUAUUUUGCACAUCAAUAGUAAUUAUGUUGUCUAAAGGGAAUGCUGGUCGGCUAAGCCCCUUUGUUAAGAAACUGGCAGCAAAAUCGCAACAGAAGUCAGGCUAUCAAUUGUUGCAGAUGGGGUUAAUUCUACCAUGGGAUUCAGCAAUUUUUAAGAAACUCCAGCCAAAAUACCAACGUCGGUUUGAGUGUAAUUUCUGUUUGGAUUUUUCCAGAUGGAUUUUUUUCAGUGCUUCAAAAAACUCAUUUAUUUUUGGUCUAGACUCAGAGAUGACAGUUAGAGCCUGAAAUCUUGGUAUUUGUUAUAAUAAGAGUAAAGUGUUAGCAGAUAUCAGACGGCAUAAGUGGCAAAAAUAAGGCCUAAAUCAGAGGUGGUAGAGGUUAGACAUACAUAGAACAAGCAAACAGGAGGCUGAGAUCAGCUUUCUAUAGAAAAGCCAAAGUGAACUUUUUCUAGCUGAUAAGUUUUGUCGCAGACUUCAAAUUUCAGCUUCUUCUUUAUAGUUUCUUUGGCCGACCUUAUUUCAGACACAAACUUUGAGCCAGUCAGGUAGUUUUUUAGACUGAAGGUUAGCCUACAUGACUGUUUCACAAUGAUAACCACGCCACUUCCAUGACAAAUGUACCUAUUAAAAAAUUAUAAUAAUCACAUCCUCUCCUAGUUAGCGCUAUUUGAAAAUUACUGAUUGGCCUUUAGUAGCCAGAUUAUUUUACUGUCACAUAAUUAUUCUUUUUAAAUCUGUUGUUCAAUGUUAAUCUUAUUUUUAUAGACAUUUAUUUGACACAUUCACUUUGGCUAAAUUGAAUUCACUUUCCUCAUAGCCUCGUCUUUAUAAUACAUGUUUUUAAAGCCCAGAAAUCCACUGACAUGUUCCACUUGAAAGAGGGUAUUAAGCCCAACUUCACUUUAAAUCAAUAGUAAAGUUCAUGACAGAUGUACAGGGAAGUAAAGAUUCAGACAGAGAGGUGGGAGACUGAAUGAAUAAUGUGUAAGCUCUGCGAGCCAGAGAGGAUGCUGGUUUGAUUCCCAGAACUGACAGAAAGAAUCAUAACUAACAUCACUCACCUGUCCUUCAAUUCUUUCAGUUUUGUGCCCUUGACAAACUCCCAAGGCUCUGAUUGUAGACUCUGCAGCUUCACUGUUGUGCUAAGAAACAAUAAAUCUGUCCGUGGGUUAUGGCGUGUUCUGAAAGUUUGUUCAAUCUAAGACUGCAGCCCCUCAAGAAGAACAUCUAUUCACCAAAUCUGGUCGGUGAGAUGAAGUCCAGGCUGAAUGUUUGACUCUGUGUGAGGCCGGCCAUGCCACUCAUGUCAAUGUGCCGCUCUCUGACUCAUGGUGUUGCCUACGGUGGGGGAGGGAAACUCAGGAGGCAGGGAGAGAAGAGCUCUGGUUGUGAGCGUGGGAUUAGGUGUUUUCUCCCCCUACUGACUGAAACGCUGUCUGCUAUUUUGGUUGGAUAUUUAACAAACAUCCACAGAGCCUCGCUGAUUCCUUUUUAUUUAAAUGUACACUUACUUCUUAACUGAUACUACAUUUUCAAUUUUUGAUUCCUUCAACUCACAUACUUAAGUGGAGGAAUUUGCUAGUUUUGUCUCUCUUAAAACAAGAAGUGCUUUUGACAGUUAGUACAACCUUGACAAUUUCUUCUUUUUACAGGGAGAAAUGCUGUCGGUGCUGUUAGAUAUUUUCUUAUCAAGAAAACAUAUUGAAAGAAAAAUGUACGAUAGAUGUGCAUCACUGAAAGAAAUUGUUCAAAGUAAUAAAUAUGCAUGUAUGUAUGCUGA